ACCGCCCUCUGGCGGCAUGCCUAACACAUGCAAGUCGAACGAGACCUUCGGGUCUAGUGGCGCACGGGUGCGUAACGCGUGGGAACCUGCCCUUAGGUUCGGAAUAACUCCCCGAAAGGGGUGCUAAUACCGGAUAAUGUCUUCGGACCAAAGAUUUAUCGCCUUUGGAUGGGCCCGCGUUGGAUUAGCUAGUUGGUAGGGUAAAAGCCUACCAAGGCGACGAUCCAUAGCUGGUCUGAGAGGAUGAUCAGCCACACUGGGACUGAGACACGGCCCAGACUCCUACGGGAGGCAGCAGUGGGGAAUAUUGGACAAUGGGCGAAAGCCUGAUCCAGCAAUGCCGCGUGAGUGAUGAAGGCCUUAGGGUUGUAAAGCUCUUUUACCCGGGAUGAUAAUGACAGUACCGGGAGAAUAAGCUCCGGCUAACUCCGUG
rnacentral:rRNA from 1 species